UCUAAGUUCGGAUUGCAGGCUGCAACCCGCCUGCAUGAAGUCGGAAUCGCUAGUAAUCGCGAGUCAGCAUAUCGCGGUGAAUACGUUCCCGGGUCUUGUACACACCGCCCGUCACACCAUGGGAGUUGGCAACACCCGAAGUCGAUGAGCUAACCGCAAGGAGGCAGUCGCCUAAGGUGGGGUUGAUGAUUAGGGUUAAGUCGUAACAAGGUAGC
rnacentral:rRNA from 1 species